rnacentral:lncRNA from 1 species
UGGAUACUUCGCGAGUAAAGUCACUCCCGACUGGUACUAGAAAUAUGGCCUUGGAGCCACCUUUCUCUUCUCUUUAUUACAUUUUAUAUGCGAAGAAUCAAUAUAAAUGAAUUUUAUAUGGAGAUCAAUACCAAUCAAAUAUGGAAUAUUAUUAUGCUUUUCACUUUUCAAAAUACAAAAGAGUGAGAAUGAUGAAACUAAAUUCCAGUUUUUCCUAUUGAAUCAAACAACUAUUUAAUUUGCUUUAUUUACAUUCUUG